GGUAGAAUUCCAGGUGUAGCGGUGAAAUGCGUAGAGAUCUGGAGGAAUACCGGUGGCGAAGGCGGCCCCCUGGACGAAGACUGACGCUCAGGUGCGAAAGCGUGGGGAGCAAACAGGAUUAGAUACCCUGGUAGUCCACGCCGUAAACGAUGUCGACUUGGAGGUUGUGCCCUUGAGGCGUGGCUUCCGGAGCUAACGCGUUAAGUCGACCGCCUGGGGAGUACGGCCGCAAGGUUAAAACUCAAAUGAAUUGACGGGGGCCCGCACAAGCGGUGGAGCAUGUGGUUUAAUUCGAUGCAACGCGAAGAACCUUACCUGGUCUUGACAUCCACGGAAGUUUUCAGAGAUGAGAAUGUGCCUUCGGGAACCGUGAGA
rnacentral:rRNA from 1 species